CAGUAAUAUUCCUAAACAAAGGUUGAAAUCAUGCCCUAUCACUUCUGGUGGGUUCCAAAAGCCGAAGAAGAACGGCAACCUUCUUGUGUGGAUACUAGUGCCAAUCCUAGGAGCACUCGUCAUUCUCUCUAUAUGUGCAGGCGCAUUUACCUACUACAUUCGGAAACGAAAACCACACAAUGGAAGAAACACAGAUUCUGAAACUGGAGAGAAUAUGUCCAUAUUCAGCGUUGAUGGCAAAUUCAAAUACCAAGAUAUCAUCGAAUCAACAAACGAAUUCGAUCAAAGAUACCUCAUCGGAAGCGGAGGAUACAGCAAAGUCUACAAAGCAAACCUCCCAGAUGCGAUCGUAGCCGUGAAAAGGCUACAUGAUACAAUAGACGAAGAGAUAUCAAAGCCAGUGGUGAAGCAAGAGUUCCUAAACGAAGUAAGAGCGUUAACAGAGAUCCGUCACCGCAACGUGGUGAAGCUCUUCGGCUUCUGCUCCCACCGCCGCCACACGUUUCUGAUCUACGAGUACAUGGAAAAAGGAAGUUUAAACAAACUCUUAGCCAACGAAGAAGAAGCUAAGCGACUCACUUGGACCAAGAGGAUCAACAUCGUGAAAGGUGUGGCUCACGCGUUAUCGUAUAUGCACCAUGACCGAUCAACUCCGAUCGUCCACCGUGAUAUUAGCAGCGGCAACAUCCUUCUCGAUAAUGAUUACACAGCUAAGAUCUCUGAUUUUGGCACAGCGAAGCUUCUCAAGACGGAUUCAUCAAACUGGUCCGCCGUUGCUGGAACCUACGGCUACGUCGCUCCAGGUAAAUCUAAAUCAAUGAAAUUAAAAAAUCCCUAAAUUAAUUCGAAAUUGAAAUUGACUGUUUCUGAAAUUUUCGCAACAGAGUUUGCUUACACGAUGAAGGUGACGGAGAAAUGCGAUGUGUAUAGCUUCGGGGUUUUGAUACUCGAGGUUAUAAUGGGGAAGCAUCCGGGAGAUUUGGUUGCGAGUUUGUCUUCGUCUCCGGGAGAAACUCUGUCCCUGAGAAGCAUUUCCGAUGAACGUAUAUUAGAACCACGGGGGCAGAAUAGAGAGAAGCUCAUAAAGAUGGUGGAAGUGGCUUUAUCGUGUUUACAAGCAGAUCCGCAAUCUCGGCCAACGAUGUUAUCAAUCUCUACAGCUUUUUCUUAGAACUCAUCUUCAUCAAUUUCUUCGACGAGGUAAAGAAAAUAACAAACUUUUUUAUAUAUUAUAAAUGUGUUUAUCAAUGCAACCGUAGUUAAAAAUUAAAAUCGUUUUUUUGGAAAGAAGGGAAGAAGAAAGAGAAGUCGUAAGGUGAAAGAAGAAUAAAGAAGAAAAGAACUUUGCUCUACUUUCUCUGCUCUACUUUCUCUGCUCAUUGCAAUGUCACUUCACGCCGUUCGAGUACUAUCCUGUGUUCUCUCUCUAAACCUUCACUUAAUUUGGCUAAACCUGUGUCUGGAUUUCUUUCUCCUUCCACUGCGUCGACGUCUCGAACCGCAUUCACCGUCGCUCCUAAAUCUCAAGAACUUGACUGUUCUUUAUCUUCAUCAGAAUUAUAUAACUGGUGUCAUUCCCCCAGAACUAGGCAACAUGGAAUCCAUGAUUGAUUUAGAGUUAAGUCAGAACAAUCUUACUGGUUCAAUUCCUUCUUCUUUUGGUAACUUUACCAAGCUGGAAAGUUUGUACCUCCGUGAUAACCACCUCUCUGGUACGAUCCCGCGAGGAGUGGCAAACUCUUCAGAGCUAACUGAAUUGCUACUCGACAUAAACAAUUUCACCGGUUUCUUGCCUGAAAACAUUUGCAAAGGUGGCAAGCUUCAGAAUUUUUCAUUAGAUUAUAAUCACCUCGAAGGUCAUAUCCCGAAAAGCUUGAGAGAUUGCAAGAGCCUGAUCAGAGCAAAAUUUGUAGGGAACAAAUUCAUUGGAAAUAUUUCUGAAGCAUUUGGGGUUUACCCAGAUCUUGAUUUCAUUGAUCUCAGCCAUAAUAAAUUCAACGGUGAAAUUUCAAGCAACUGGCAGAAGAGUCCAAAGCUAGGUGCCUUGAUCAUGUCAAACAACAACAUCACAGGUGCUAUUCCACCAGAGAUUUGGAACAUGAAACAACUGGGCGAGCUAGAUCUGUCUACCAACAACCUCACUGGUGAGCUUCCAGAAGCAAUUGGAAAUCUCACGGGUUUGUCGAAGCUACUACUGAAUGGGAAUAAGUUAUCUGGAAGAGUUCCUACGGGUUUAAGUUUCUUAACCAAUCUUGAGUCUCUUGACUUAUCCUCAAACAGAUUCAGCUCCCAGAUCCCACAAACCUUCGACUCCUUUUUAAAGCUUCAUGAAAUGAACCUGAGCAAAAACAAUUUCGAUGGACGCAUUCCCGGACUAACAAAGCUGACUCAGUUAACGCAUCUUGAUCUCAGCCACAACCAGCUCGACGGAGAAAUCCCAUCACAGCUCAGCUCCUUGCAGAGCCUCGACAAGCUCAACCUCUCACACAACAAUCUCUCAGGUUUCAUUCCAACAACUUUCGAGAGCAUGAAAGCGCUGACGUUCAUCGAUAUAUCAAAUAAUAAACUCGAGGGUCCGCUUCCAGACAAUCCAGCGUUUCAAAACGCAACAUCAGAUGCAUUGGAGGGAAACAGAGGCUUAUGCAGUAAUAUUCCUAAACAAAGGUUGAAAUCAUGCCCUAUCACUUCUGGUGGGUUCCAAAAGCCGAAGAAGAACGGCAACCUUCUUGUGUGGAUACUAGUGCCAAUCCUAGGAGCACUCGUCAUUCUCUCUAUAUGUGCAGGCGCAUUUACCUACUACAUUCGGAAACGAAAACCACACAAUGGAAGAAACACAGAUUCUGAAACUGGAGAGAAUAUGUCCAUAUUCAGCGUUGAUGGCAAAUUCAAAU
rnacentral:lncRNA from 1 species